CAGGGUCAUUAUGUAACUCGGUGAACGCUUUAAAAUCACAGUCACGACAACAAAUGACAGCGAUUUUUCGUUUUUGCGAUCAUGUAACACACAUCUCCCACCGAAAUGACGUCAUCUUGGAUCGUUCUCUGUCACGGUCACUUGUAGGGAUUUAUCCAAGUUAUAACGCAGUUUUUACGUAUCGAUAGUCAGUUUAAGCGAUUAUUGUUUACCGACAUUGCCAUGUACAAUACAAUGCAUGUAGCAUUUGUAUUGUACGCGGAAACGGAACGAAAAAGAUGUCUUUGUCGAGUUCAUUGCAAAACUUUCGUGUCGCGAAACCAGCAGGUUUUAGAAGAAAUACAAAGUCUUCGAACAACUGCUGUUCGCAAUGAAUUAGAGAUAAGUCUUGGCAGCUUUAAACUUUUAUGCCAAUGGAUCAUACAAAUGGCUUUGUGAUGGCUAAGGCAUCUUUUAGCAAAUGCCUACAUGAAGUCGCUGACGCUCCUGAAUACCCCAGCUGUUUAAAAAAAAUGUGUUAAGUUCCCUUUGCAUUAAACACAAAAUCAUUAUAAAUAAAUAUGUGAUGCCAAUCUAAUAAUAACAUAGUGGAUGCUCAAUUUGGUGGUGCAUCUUAUGACUUGUACAUAUGGAACCAGUGCAAUAAGACCACUUGAGGAAAACCUGCCCAAUAGGGACCGCUGUUGGUUGUUAGGUGACCAAUGUUUGCAUGAUGACCCCCAUCUUGGGAGCUGCUCCUAGAUCCCAUGAAGAUAUGCACAACAUUGCUGUGUCAGAAAUACGGUGGAGCCUUGUAGUUGGGUGCAUAUUGUAAAAUGUUUCCUCACUCCAAAACCAUGAACUCUGGUUUCCUAAACCCUCAAGCUAUGCAGCCGAAGGAGGAGACUUAUCACAGGAGAAUCACUAAUAAUUUUGAAGAAGUGAAGAGCUUAACAAUGUUUCAACCAACACCAAAAGAAGCUUUCACUUGGCUGUUAGAUCAAGGGCUGGAUACAGAAAACAGUAAUCCUUGUGAUGGCAGUAUUGUCCAAGGAUUCCUCACUCAAAACCAUGAUAACAAGUUGCUAGAACCCUCAAGCUAUGCAGAUAAAGGACUGGAUAUAUUUUUUCGUGACCAAGCCUUCUGUAUAAUUAUUUAUACUUAAACCAUACAAAGCACUAUCUAGCCCCAAAGUAGGCAUACAGAGUAGCUUGUGUUGUGGGUACUAAGAUAGUUGAUAUUAUAAUAUUCAUUUACAUUUAUAUACUACCUAUAAAUACUUAUAUAAUGUAUAAAUACACACACACUGGAAAAAACCCAUGCUCUUCACACAAAUAUUUUCCAGGUGUGGGAAUCGAACCCAUGACCGUGGAUGCAGGAGCACUACUUACUGCGCCACGCGUAUGUGUUUUUAUUUUGAAGCAAAUUAUUAAAGUUGAUAAUUCAAAUUGUAGUCAUGUUUUUAAUUAAUCUAUAAUUAAUUUUUAAUUUACAUUUUUGUUAAAUAUUUACCUAUACUUCAGUCUAUUUUUGUUAGAGGGGGUACCUAUAUGUGUAAGUAGGGUCGUUUCUUGAUUAAAUUAAACUAAAGAAUGAAAGAUAUAUAUUAUAACAAAAUUUGUCAACAACAAUAUAUCAAGUCUGAAUAAAAAAUACCAACACAAGUAAA